rnacentral:rRNA from 1 species
CGCGUAGGCGGCCACCGCAAGUCGACUGUGAAAUCUCCGGGCUUAACCCGGAGAGGUCAGCCGAUACUGCGGGGCUAGAGUGCAGAAGGGGCAACUGGAAUUCUCGGUGUAGCGGUGAAAUGCGUAGAUAUCGAGAGGAACACCUGCGGCGAAGGCGGGUUGCUGGGCUGACACGGACGCUGAGGCGCGAAAGCUAGGGGAGCGAACG